rnacentral:lncRNA from 1 species
ACCAUUUUCUAAUAUAUCCAACGUUCUUAAAGUAAGCCCGCUAUUCCUUUUGUCGACGUCCAGAGCAAGAGCUUGUCAAAAGAAAUCGGGAUAUGCCUUUCUUCGCACCUCUCUCUCUCUCGCGCGCUCUUCCCUCUGUUCAAAUAUAAAAUUUAAUCUUUGCUUUUAUUUCAUAAGAAGGACCAGUAUCGCAAGUAGUGCAUAAAUCCUCCAGCCUUACGCUCCUCUGCUUCCUUCCAUCUAUAUCAUGUCAAGAGGAUGAAAUACUAGAAAAUAGAGUGAGAAUACAAAAAGAAUAUUUCGAGGGAAGGCGAAGCUAGAGGCUUAGGAUGGUUCAUUUUCUUUCGUAGCACCAACUGUUGGAUCAUGUAAUGGCCACUUCAAAAUCUAUGCAUGUGGAUAAAAAAAAGUUUAGAGUUCUUUAAAAUCUAUGGGAGGCGUGAUCCAGUGAUUGAUGUUGUAAAAGAGGAUCAAUCAUUCUUUUGCGUGAAAGAUACACUCGGAAUCUAAAACUAGAAGGCCACCUAAUUUUAUUUCCAAAAAAUAUUGUACUACGAGUAGUGUCCAUGAGGGCAUGCUGAGAUACAAAAUAUUUUCUUUCUUUCUCACCUAUAUAUAGUGACAUACUAGAGUAUAAAAUGGUCACUGUGCAUUGGCCUAAUUAGGGCACACGUGUUUAUCAUUACUUGCUCCCAAUUGAUCAAUCAUUCUACGUUCUGUUAAGUAGCCAAGUCGAGCAAGUUCUCUCAUCAGCCAUCGGCUUGGUUUAUCCGGCGCACCAAGUAAAUCAUACCACUAUGGUCAUUAUAAACUUUAAAUUCUAACUAAAAUUUUUGUUUUAUAGUUUUAGUACAUGAAUGCAUAAAUAUUAUUUUUU